GGUUAAGUGACUAAGCGUACACGGUGGAUGCCUUGGCAGUCAGAGGCGAUGAAGGACGUAGUAACUUGCGAUAAGCGUAGAUGAGGCAGUAACAGCCACUUGAGUCUACGAUUUCCGAAUGGGGAAACCCACUGGCAUAAGCCAGUAUCAUUGAGUGAAUACAUAGCUCAAUGAAGCGAACCGGGAGAACUGAAACAUCUAAGUACCCCGAGGAAAAGAAAUCAACCGAGAUUCCGAAAGUAGCGGCGAGCGAAAUUGGAUUAGCCCUUAAGCUUUACAUGUGUUAGACGAACGGUCUGGAAAGUCCGACGAUACAGGGUGAUAGUCCCGUAGUUGUAGAUGCAUGUUCAGUGAAAUCGAGUAGGGCGGGACACGUGUUAUCCUGUCUGAAUAUGGGGGGACCAUCCUCCAAGGCUAAAUACUCCUGACUGACCGAUAGUGAACCAGUACCGUGAGGGAAAGGCGAAAAGAACCCCUGUGAGGGGAGUGAAAUAGAACCUGAAACCGUGUACGUACAAGCAGUAGGAGCACCUUCGUGGUGUGACUGCGUACCUUUUGUAUAAUGGGUCAGCGACUUAUAUUCAGUGGCAAGGUUAACCAUCUAGGGGAGCCGUAGGGAAACCGAGUCUUAACUGGGCGCCAUAGUCUCUGGAUAUAGACCCGAAACCGAGUGAUCUAGCCAUGGGCAGGUUGAAGGUUGAGUAACAUCAACUGGAGGACCGAACCGACUAAUGUUGAAAAAUUAGCGGAUGACUUGUGGCUAGGGGUGAAAGGCCAAUCAAACUCGGAGAUAGCUGGUUCUCCCCGAAAGCUAUUUAGGUAGCGCCUCGGACGAAUACUACUGGGGGUAGAGCACUGUUAAGGCUAGGGGGUCAUCCCGACUUACCAACCCUUUGCAAACUCCGAAUACCAGUAAGUACUAUCCGGGAGACACACGGCGGGUGCUAACGUCCGUCGUGGAGAGGGAAACAACCCAGACCGCCAGCUAAGGUCCCAAAUUACAGCUAAGUGGGAAACGAUGUGGGAAGGCUUAGACAGCUAGGAUGUUGGCUUAGAAGCAGCCAUCAUUUAAAGAAAGCGUAAUAGCUCACUAGUCGAGUCGGCCUGCGCGGAAGAUGUAACGGGGCUAAGUU
rnacentral:rRNA from 1 species